GAAUGGCCCAGUGGUCUAAGGCACCAGACUCAAGUUCUAGUCCUCUUAAUAGGGUGUGGGUUCAAGUCCCACUUC
rnacentral:tRNA from 1 species